rnacentral:rRNA from 1 species
AUUGAACGCUGGCGGCAGGCUUAACACAUGCAAGUCGAGCGAGCGGCGGACGGGUGAGUAAGGUCUGGGAAACUGCCUGAUGGAGGGGGAUAACUACUGGAAACGGUAGCUAAUACCGCAUACCAUCAGAUGUGCCCAGAUGGGAUUAGCUAGUAGGUGGGGGAAUGGCCAACCUAGGCGACGAUCCCUAGCUGGUCGGAGAGGAGGACCGGCCACACUGGAACUGGAACACGGUCCAGACUCCUACGGGAGGAAGCAGUGGGGAAUGUUGCACAAUGGGCGCAAGCCUGAUGCAGCAAUGCCGCGUGUGUGAAGAAGGCCUUCGGGUUGUAAAGCACUUUCAGCGAGGAGGCGUUACUCGAAGAAAAAGCACCGGCUAACUCCGUGCCAGCAGCCGCGGUAAUUC